GGAGUCAAGCAUGUUUAACCCGAACCCUUCCCGUCUCCUUCAAGGUCAUCCAAGUUGAGGUUGAAGUCGAAGGUAUCCACAUCAACGAAAGCGAAUUCUAACCUACAUGGAUAGAAAUGGUAAGAUGGAAAACAUGCAGCACAUUAGGCGAUGGUGGUAACCAAGUUCUCCUGCAGAACUAUCCCAUGCCGUCAGAAGAAGAGAGGUUGAAAAAUUGAAAAAGGCUGUGAAAACAAAACACACUGCAGGAUGAUGUAGAAGACUUCCCCCCAAGAAGUCACAGUAUGUCACAUCAGCAUCCAGCUCUGCAGGAUCAGACGAUACAGAAAACAAAAUGCACGGCGAACUGGGAGCUGUGAACUGGGAAGCAGAUGUUCUUCUAAGGGACACCCGAGAGGCAGCAAGGUGGUGUGAACUCCAAACAUUUAAAGUCACUGUUUCCCUCCCUAGUGUAAUUGGGAUGGAGGGGGAAGACCACAUUACAACCCUUAAAGAACAACGGUUGUAUGAUGGCCUGGAUCAAGAGGAAAAUAUUUUCCUCAAGGAACCAUUCAUGUUCCAGUUCCAGUUCCAGAGAGAUUAUGAGAUAUUCUAUGUGGAGGCAGUUGACAACAAGAAAAUUACUGUCUUCUUGAGGAGCAGGAAUGAAGCCAUUUUUGAGGAGUGGUCAAGCCUUGUUUUUCUCUGCUGUGUUAAUUGUUUCAAUUGUUAAUUGUGUUAUGCUGUUUAGUAAAGAUGACAUAGAAGUCA